ensembl:misc_RNA Y_RNA Y RNA
GGGUAUUCUGAAGGUAGUGAGUUGUUUCGAUGAUUGUAGUAACCACUUGUUACUACUCCGUCCCUCCUUCUCACUACUGCACUUGACUAGUCUUAA